UACGUAGGGUGCGAGCGUUGUCCGGAAUUACUGGGCGUAAAGAGCUCGUAGGUGGUUUGUCGCGUUGUUCGUGAAAACUCACAGCUCAACUGUGGGCGUGCGGGCGAUACGGGCAGACUGGAGUACUGCAGGGGAGACUGGAAUUCCUGGUGUAGCGGUGGAAUGCGCAGAUAUCAGGAGGAACACCGGUGGCGAAGGCGGGUCUCUGGGCAGUAACUGACGCUGAGGAGCGAAAGCCAGGGGAGCAACGGG
rnacentral:rRNA from 1 species